CUUCUGACGAGGUGCAUUUGUAGAAUGAGCUAGUAACUAAAGGUGAUUAUGUAGCGUUUAUUCAGCGUCGCUCUAGUUCGAGAGAGAGGGAGGAGAGAAGUUUGUGUCUUGCUCAGUGGUCCUGCCAGCGUUGUGUCUUCUGUCACGAGUGAUGGAGGUCACUGAGGACGACCCAGCUUACAUGAUCAAGCACACAUGGAGGGUCGUAAAGAGAAGACUAACAUCACAUGGCAGAGAGUUGCAACAGCACUUGACCCAAGGCUUCUGUGGAUGGUGGUUCUAUCUGAUGGUGGUGGUCCCUGCAGUGGUCCUGCUGUGCGCCUGGCUUACUACUCACAAUUACUUGAAUCAUUUCUGUCAUAGGAAUUGCAUGUAUUUUACAUUGUUCAUUCUGUACACAUGGCAUCCAUUGUAGUCUGUCCAUCCCGGGAGUGGGAUCCCUGCUCUGACGUUCUCCCUAUGGUUUCUUCCCUUUUUUUCCCUCUUGGAAGGAUUUUUUCAUUGUUUGGUGAGUUUUUCCUGUGGCGAUGGUGGGUUUCGGGACAGAGGAUGUCGUAUGUGUACAGAUUGUAAAGCCCUCUGAGACACAUUUGUAAUUUGCGAUUUUGGGCUAUACAAAAUAAAAUGAAUUGAAUUGAAUUGGAUGAGACCAUGUCCUGAAUGUAGACUGGACCCAAUCCUUUCACAGCAUGGUACGUGAACUGUAAAACCUUUUACUGUAAAGUUACAGUAACUUACUGGCAGUAGUUUCAGCUGUAAGAUACUGUCAAAUUUACAGUGACAGAGAAAUAAAGUCCGUUAUUGUAAUAGAAAUGUAAAAUGGUGUAAUUACAAAAAGGUACAACACAUUACUGUUAACAGUUUCACUUGUAAGAUGCUGUACAAUUUAACUUGUUGAUUCAAAAUGGCUUUCAGUGUCCGCUCGUUACCACAUAACAUUAACUGUGAGGCAUCUCUAAAAUUGAACAAAUAUGAAAAAUAAUAAUUUCCAACAACAGCCUAUUUACAACUUGUUUAUAAUUUCCAACAACAGCCUAUUUACAACUUGUUUAUUAGAAUAGUAUAAGUUUGAAAAAUAAUAUCCAAAUAACAAAUUCAAAUAUUCAAGCCAGAAUAACAUAUCCAAUCCAUUUUGACUUAUAUAAGUUGAGAAAUUAUGAAGAGAAUCAAAUAAAAAAUAUCCCAUAUAAAUACAAAAAGCAAUGUGAAUGAGUGAGACACAGACAUAGUUGGGUGGUCAGUGAGUGAAUGACUGAAAUAUGGAUAAGGAUUUGUGUGUGUGUGUUUGAGGGGGUUCUGAACUCUAUGGACUGAGUCAGGGUAGUCAUACAUAGUCACACUCAAAAUCCAUGAGCUUCCUUAAGAGGGUGUACACAUGGGGAUUCAGGAAUGUUGGUUAUUUGGACCAUUUUACCGCUCCUUUUGCUGUCCCCGUUCCUUAAUGUGCCUUUGUACCUCUCUCCGGGUUAAUUCCACGACAGCUUCUGGCAAAUAUAUGUGAGAAUGGUGCUAUAUUUAUUGAUUAAAAUGCUUACUUUCCCUAGGUUUGGUCACAUCUUGUGCAAAUAACAUUCAGGACACUACUAACAAUGUACUCCUCUAUCAGUACUUUCAAGUAAGCUAUCAAAUUAGCUCAACAAUUUGUCUAAGCUGUAAUACAAGUUGCCACACUUCCUUUUCAACUGGACUUUGAAUCUUGUCCCCUAUCAAGACUGGCAGAACCCUGAGUAGCAUUCAUUUCUGGACAGAAUGUCCAAUUAACUUCACAGGAUUAACAACAGACAGUAAUAACUUUGCUUUAUUUUACCUUAAACUUCAAGCUAAGUUCUUCAGGAAAAGUGGCCCAUCUGUGCUUUCUGGAAACACUUCUUUCUGGUCUCUUUCUAGGUCAUCAUAAACAUUGGAAGCCUCUGCUUCUUCAUGAGAGCACCCUGCUUGCUCAACAGUAUUCUCUCCAUUAACAUUUCCUCUAUCUGACGUUGUCGGGCUUAAAACAUUAUCAACUGCACGUUUAUGUGUUUAAGUCUGAUGAAAAUGGGGAUAUCACAGUAAAAACUUUACCACAGUUUUGGAAUGGACAUAAGACUGGUCUUCCCUCUUUAAUAUGAGUCUUCAAGUGAGAUAAACAAACUGUCACACUUUACGGUACAGCGCGGGGGGGGUUGUAAGUGGCAUAAGUGUGCUGCUCUCCACACAACCAAAGCCACUCUUUUCACUCCCGGCUCUCUCUCUCUCACUCACUCACUCUCACACGCACACGCAAGGAAACCAGAAAAUCAUAACAUUGUCCCACACAGCAGCUAACAGCGGGAUUUCUACAAUAUAAAACUCAUGGGGCCGCACUAACAUUAAACUUUCAUAUUAAGGUGGGGGCAACAAAAUAUCGUCCCGAGGGCCACAAUUGGCCAGCGGGCCGCGAGUUUGAGACCCCUGAUCUAACGUGAAUGUCCUGGUGCCGGCAAGGAAGGUUGCUUCCUUCAGUCUUGACUCCCUCUGACCUGGAUAAUCUCUAUAUAAUUGACAUUUUAAAGCCAAAUGAACAGCUGCAACAUUUUUGAGGAAUUGAAAGGGAUUGCAAAACUCAGCUCUGGCACCUCAUUAUUUAAGCUUACUUCAAAAUGAAUAUAUGUUACUUUCUUUAGAUUCUUAGCAGUACCCAGCCACACUUAGCUGUGGAUAAUGGAAGCAAGCGUUAUAACUCCCAGAAUGCCUCGCUUUUGCAGCAGUAUACUGUAAUCUCACAAUACAGUAGGUAACGGUUUAAAUUUCACUGUAAAUUUACAUUAAAGUCUUACAGUGUGAGUACCAAUGUUUUGAACUGGAUGCGGGCAGCCACUGAUAGCCGCAUGGUAGUUUGAACAGCCUAUUAACACUUAUGGUUAUGGGACUGCAAUUCAAUAGCCGAUUGUAGUUUUCAGAAAGACAGAAUUUAAAAGUGUGUAGCUACUUAGUGGACUUUCAACUUUUGUGGUCUUAAAAUGGUGUCUGCUUUUUGUAGAGGAAUUACUGAUAUAUAGCACCAGAUAAGGUUAGGAUUAGGCCUAAAGCUGGCAGUAUUUGUCAGUUAUUGAGCUCUUAAAAGAAGCCUGUGAGGAGCAUCUCAUGAUAUGGGUCAUUUAGUUCGGAAUCUACUAUAACCAAAGUUUGAAACAUUGAUAUAUUGGAUUUAUGUCAGGCAGUCUUAACCAGCUGAGUAUUCUGGAAAAAAACUGACCAGCUAAGCUGUAACCCAGCUUCUCUUUUCUUUCCAGUCAUUAAAUAGGCCUCCUGUUUCUUGGAGAGCUUGUCCACAAAUGUACAAACCAUCGUGUUCGGUCCUCAAUGAAAAAGGUGAAACUGCAAUGAAUGGUCCAAUAAAAAAGUAUUCUCAGCCCAAUCUAAGUACCACUCUGUAAUUCAUUCCUGCAUCAAUUUUACAACACCUAAUGUUUUUAUGAUGAGGUUCAACGGUGUGUACAAUGAAACCUUUUUUAAACAGUUGUCUCAGUUGGUGUUUGAAAAUUGCUGGAUAAUUUGCACCAUUACUGCAAGAUACAAAUAAAAAAUUCUUUAAAAAAAAAAUCCUUGACAGCAGAUGUGUGUAGAUUGAACCAAUGAGUCGGACAUAAGAU
ensembl:lncRNA